GACGAACCGUGCGAACGUUGUUCGGAAUCACUGGGCGUAAAGCGCACGUAGGCGGAUCUUUAAGUCAGGGGUGAAAUCCCGAGGCUCAACCUCGGAACUGCCUUUGAUACUGGGGAUCUCGAGUCCGGGAGAGGUGAGUGGAACUGCGAGUGUAGAGGUGAAAUUCGUAGAUAUUCGCAAGAACACCAGUGGCGAAGGCGGCUCACUGGCCCGGUACUGACGCUGAGGCACGAAAGCGUGGGGAGCAAACAGG
rnacentral:rRNA from 1 species